AUUGAACGCUGGCGGCAGGCUUAACACAUGCAAGUCGAACGAGUGGCGGACGGGAGUGUAAUGCUUGGGAAUCUAGUUUAUGGCGGGGGAUAAUUACGGGAAACUGUUGCUAAUACGGCGUACCUUAGGCUGAGCCCAAGUGGGACUAUGUAGUUGGUGAGGUAAAGGCUCACCAAGUCGACGAUCUCUAGCUGGUCUGAGAGGAUGACCAGCCAGACUGGAACGGAGACACGGCCCAGACUCCUACGAGAGGCAGCAGUGGGGAAUAUUGCGCAAUGGGGGCAACCUGACGCAGCCAUGCCGCGUGAAUGAAGAAGGCCUUCGGGUGGUAAAGUUCUUUCGGUAGCGAGGCGUUAACUACAGAAGAAGCACCGGCUAACUCCGUGCCAGCAGCCGCGGUAAUAC
rnacentral:rRNA from 1 species